AUGAGUCAGAACCAAGAGAUAUCCAAGAAGACUAACUCUAGGAAGGGAAUCAAUGUCGACAAGGCUAUUGAGAUGUUUCUUGAAGUUGAGAGGAACAAGAACAAGGGAGGUGGUUCCACUGUUGCUGCUAAUGUGGAAACCCAUGGUGGACCAUCUGUUGGAACAUCUGGGAAAAGGAAAAAUUUUAUGUCCAGGAUGAAAACUUUGAAUAAAAAACAAAUGCAACAAAGUGACUUAGAUAUAGAUGAAGACUGGGUUACAUACCUGGAUUCAAAUGGGCAUGAAGACUAA